rnacentral:misc_RNA from 1 species
CACAAUUAAUGAAUCAUGUCAAAAAUUUAAUUACAAACAUAAUGCUUUUAUUAUAGAGGUUGCACGACGUGACACGUUUAAUAUUAAAUCGUGUUGGGUUAAUUAGACACAAGAUAAAACAUUAAACACAAUUUGACAUGAUUCAACUGAUUUAAUACGAUUUGACAGUCCAAUUCAUUUAACAUGAUUUGACACCAAUCCAAUAUGACUCAUUUAAUACAUUUUGACAAAAUUCAAUGUUACGUAUCAACCUGCACACUUAGUGAAACAGAGG